rnacentral:lncRNA from 1 species
GCGGAACCGGAGUCUUUAGUUUAGAAACACAGCAGCAGACUGUUGGAGCUUAAGGUGAAUAUGGAAGGGUGGUUAGAGUUUCCCCCGGUCUCCAGUAAAGUGGAGCAGCAGAAGAUCCAGCUCUGAUCAGCAGCUCCACACCUCUGUACUCAGACUGCUCUGCUGGAGGAACACCAUCAGCUCACCUGCUGCAGAAAUGAAUGCUGUCCAGUUCCAAGUUUUAUUCUGAUCCCAGUGUCAACUUUCCUACGUGAAUGAAUUUUUGAUUCACAAAUACAAUCGGAAGAUUUCACAAACAAGC